rnacentral:rRNA from 1 species
AAUGACUCUCGGCAGCGGAUAGCUUGGCUUUCACAUCAAUGAAGAACAUAGCGAAAUGUGAUAUUUGGUGUGAAUUACAGAAUCCUGUGAACCAUCAAGUCUUUGAAAGUAAGUUGCGCCUAAAGCCAUUAGGUUAAGGGAACAUUUGGUUGGAUGUCACGCAACG